UACGUAGGGACCAAGCGUUGUUCGGAUUUACUGGGCGUAAAGGGCGCGUAGGCGGCAAUUCAAGUCAUCUGUGAAAUCUCCGGGCUUAACCCGGAACGGUCAGGUGAUACUGUUUUGCUAGAGUGCGGAAGGGGCAAUCGGAAUUCUCGGUGUAGCGGUGAAAUGCGUAGAUAUCGAGAGGAACACCAGAGGUGAAGACGGGUCGCUGGGCCGACACUGACGCUGACAGCGCGAAAGCCAGGGGAGCAAACGGG
rnacentral:rRNA from 1 species